UACAGAGGGUGCAAACGUUGCUCGGAAUCAUUGGGCGUAAAGCGCACGUAGGCGGCCUAGCAAGUCGGGAGUGAAAUCCCUCGGCUUAACCGGGGAACUGCGUCUGAUACUGGAUGGCUUGAGUUUGGGAGAGGGAUGCGGAAUUCCCGGUGUAGCGGUGAAAUGCGCAGAGAUCGGGAGGAACACCCGUAGCGAAGGCGGUUCUCUGGGCCGGUACUGACGCUGAGGAGCGAAAGCGUGGGGAGCAAACAGG
rnacentral:rRNA from 1 species